rnacentral:Y_RNA from 2 species
GACUAGUCUGAAGGUAGUGAGUUACCUCAAUUGAGUGUUAGCAGUCACAGAUCAAACCCCUUGUUCUACUCUUUCCACCUUCUCACUCCUGCACUCACGACAACA